GCAGCUGUGGCCAAGAGGUUAAGACAAUGGAUUCGUUACUCAUUGAGGUCUCCUCGAUUAGGUUCGAAUCCUACCGGCUGCG